rnacentral:rRNA from 1 species
ACGAACGCUGGCGGCGUACUUAACACAUGCAAGUCGGACGAGAAAGGAGACUUCGGUCUCUGAGUACAGUGGCGCACGGGUGCGUUACACGUAAGUAAUCUACCCCCGAACUCUGGGAUAACCCUCCGAAAGGAGGGCUAAUACUGGAUAGGGUCCCCGAGGUGUAGGCCGCGGGGGGAAAACGGGCCUCUGUUUCAUGCUCGUGGCUUGGGAUGAGCUUGCGGCCCAUUAGCUGGUUGGUAGGGUAACGGCCUACCAAGGCAACGAUGGGUAGCUGGUCUGAGAGGAUGAUCAGCCACACCGGCACUGAGACACGGGCCAGACUCCUACGGGAGGCAGCAGUGGGGAAUUUUGCGCAAUGGGCGAAAGCCUGACGCAGUAACGCCGCGUGGAGGAUGAAGGCCUUCGGGUUGUAAACUCCUGUCAGGAGGAACGACGGGGAAAGGGUGAUAAAUCCUUUCCUCCAGACGGUACCUCCAAAGGAAGCCCCGGCUAAUUCCGUGCCAGCAGCCGCGGUAAUACGGAGGUGGCAAGCGUUGUUCGGAAUUACUGGGCGUAAAGGGCGCGUAGGCGGCAAGGCAAGUCAGAUGUGAAAGCCCCGGGCUUAACUCGGGAAUUGCAUCUGAAACUGCUGUGCUUGAGUUCUGGAGGGGGUAGUGGAAUUCCCAGUGUAGCGGUGAAAUGCGUAGAUAUUGGGAGGAACACCUGCGGCGAAGGCGGCUACCUGGACAGAAACUGACGCUGAGGCGCGAAAGCUAGGGGAGCGAACGGGAUUAGAUACCCCGGUAGUCCUAGCCGUAAACGAUGGGCACUUGGUGUUGGGGGUAUUGAGUCCCUCAGUGCCGGAGUUAACACGUUAAGUGCCCCGCCUGGGGAGUACGGUCGCAAGACUGAAACUCAAAGGAAUUGACGGGGGCCCGCACAAGCGGUGGAGCAUGUGGUUCAAUUCGACGCAACGCGAAGAACCUUACCGGGGCUCGAACGGUAACUGCAACCUGUGGAAACAUAGGGUUCUCUUCGGAGACGGUUACCGAGGUGCUGCAUGGCUGUCGUCAGCUCGUGUCGUGAGAUGUUGGGUUAAGUCCCGCAACGAGCGCAACCCUUGCCCUUAGUUGCUAACAGGUCAAGCUGAGCACCCUAGGGGAACUGUCGGCGAAAAGCCGGAGGAAGGUGGGGAUGACGUCAAGUCCUCAUGGCCCUUACGUCCCGGGCUACACACGUGCUACAAUGGUCGGUACAAAGGGUCGCCAACCCGCGAGGGGGAGCUAAUCUCAAAAAACCGAUCUCAGUUCGGAUUGCAGUCUGCAACUCGACUGCAUGAAGGCGGAAUCGCUAGUAAUCGCAGAUCAGCAUGCUGCGGUGAAUACGUUCC